rnacentral:lncRNA from 12 species
UAUGACUGUCCUGUUCAUGAUGGCCACAUUGUAUGAGAGAGGGCAGUUUACAACAAACCAUGGGCAUUAAACUUACCUCGUCACACACUGGGGAAGGAUUUAGUCACAAAUAACUCAGCUGAUCUCAGCACAUAUCACGUGGUGCACUGAAAGUCUGAAUUUAACACACCAGCAUGAUUAUGAAAACAGCAGCGAGAGCAGCAGGAUAAUGCUGGAGAAAUGGGAUCCCGCUUCCCAAAACGAGCAGGUAGGAGAGCUGAAGCGAUGCAUAAGAGAGCGCACAGGAAACCUGCGCUAAAUGCAGUGCCAUGAGGUUAAAUGCAUAACAUCACAGAAAACAAGGUGUUUGCAAAAGCUGUUUUAAAAGCGAGAUAUGGUGAGAAUACCUGAAUGAAUUAGGAUCUAUUUAAGGUGCAGUUUGCACAUAAUGUGUGCGGUUUAAAUUA